CUUCAGGCGAGCUGUUUGAGACCUCCCCUGGCUGCGAUCGGCUAUUCUCGUCUACUUUCGAGGCGAGCCGCAACAUGUUGUCUGUCCUCAGCAACUACAAGGCUUAAUAGAAGACUUGUCCCUACCAGUGUCGGCCAUAGCAACACUUCUGGGUGUAUCUAAGAAGACAGUCAAAAGGCGCAUGCAUGAAAAUGGCCUUUCCAUAAAACGGUCCUACAGUACCCUAACUGAUGAUGAACUAGACAAUUUGGUUCGGUCAGUUAAGGCCAGGACACCACAUGUAGGAUAUCGAAUGAUGAAAGGAAUCCUGAACAAUGGCUCGCUGUGUGCAAUGGAAGAGAGUGUCUUCAUCAAUGCAUCGUGUUGAUUCUGUGGGUGUACUCACAAGAAUGGCAAGGAUGGGGUGUGUUGCAAGAAGGACAUUCUGUUCAGGGUCCUCUGCACUUGGUACACAUGGACACAAAUCAUAAACUCAUCAGAUCAUGUACCUGGGUGCUGCCACUAAUAAUAAAGCAUUGACUUCACUUGACUUCUUCUUAGAGGGUGUGCAAAAGUAUGGCUUUCCAUUAAGAGUAAGAGCCGACCAAGGAGUGGAAAAUGUUGACUAUAAGGGGCUGUGGAAGGGGAAGCUUCCUGUCAGGGAAAAGUGUGCACAAUCAAAAGAAUCGAACGUUUGUGGCGAGAUGUUUGGAUGGCUGUUUCAAACGUGCACUACGAGGUUCUUCACAGCCUCGAGGAUGAGGGUGUUCUAGAUCCUUCUGAUAGCAUCCACAUGUUCUGUGCCCAGCAUGUAUUUCUUCCGCGUCUUCAGAGGGAUCUCAAUGUCUUCAGGAUGGGUUGGGAUAAUCAGCCUCUAAGGACAGAGCUAAAUGUGUCCCCACACCAACUGUGGACAAUGGGACUCCUCCAUAAUCCUAUUGAUGUUCCAGACCUUGCAGAGUGACUGUAUGGAUAAUCGGAGACAGCUAUGUCCGGCGUGGAGCCCAGAGAGCUACAGAGACCAUCGGCAGCAACCUUGGCCUUGACCUGAGGGUGUGCUGGUUCGGUUGGGGUGGACUGCGCUGGAGAGGUGUCCUCCCCUUCUUUUCCAACUCCCUGCGAGGAAGAGCAGCCCCGGAGGUCCUCCUCAUCCACUGUGGCGGCAACGACUUGGGGGAUGUGCCCAAUGUUCAGUUGCUGAACAAGAUGAAGGAGGACCUGCACCAGCUUCACCAUCGGCACCCUGGCAUGAAGAUCAUGCUCUCCCAGAUAAACCAAAAAUAAAUAAAUGACAUUCA